GGGUUGGUUCCCUGACCGGGGAUCGAACCCGGGCCGCAUCCUAACCACUAGACCACCAGGGAACCUGGUAUGUGUUCAUUAAAUAUAAAAUUAAAAAACAAUUCUAUAGUCAGGGACUGAUCAGUUGAGGGGGUCUGGAAUACAACCACUGUUUAGUGGUGGACAGUAAUGAAUUAAAUGAAAUUUGUUACUUGACUUAAGUAGCUUUUUUCAACUACAGAUGGUCCCCGAGUUACGAUGGUUCGACUUACAAUUUUUUUCGUUCUCAUGAUGACGACAAAAUUGUAAAAAUAUUUUUUUUAAAUUCACGCAACAGGCACAGGCAGAGGAUGAUCGUAUCUCUCGCCCUGCGAGAUGCCCCACUCUCGCUAGCGGUCGACGGAGUAAAGUCUCGGUCAUUAAUUAGUUUUGCACAAUUUCCCCAGCAUCAGCGCAUGUCACGUGCAUUCUAUCACAGUUCUCUCCCUCAUGUUCUGAAACGUACCCAAGAUGCUGUGGGGCAGACAACAUCUGCAUCAGCAGCGCUUUGGAGUCUCGAGCUGACCUUCAGCUAGACCAUAUGCUGCAUCCACUGAAACUCGCUCGGCUCUGCACAAAAGACGGCGGACUCUGUGUAUGUGUGUGUUCGUCCACACACUGGAUCAAGCAGCAGCUGAGCAGCCUCCAGAUCACCGUCUGGUCGUGCAACAGUGACAAUGUCACUCAGCCCCGGGGCUUCAGCCUCUCCAAAAAGUGGUCAGAUGGACAACUACUGUGGUUGUGCCAACGCUGCUGGAAGAGCCCACAACAUCUGACUGACAGUGGCAUGAGAUUCCUUUGGGCACAACUGCAAAUAGCCACACAAAACAGUAGGCCGUCUCCUCAAGACCCCUCUAAGCAAUCCAAUCGGGACAUCUCACGCCAGAUAGCAUUCUGUCCGUAUACACGGCUUGACACACUGCAUAUGCGGCCAUGGAUGGAAUUAUAGCACAUAUAGAAAUGUUUUUAAAGAUAUAUUUGCAUCAAAGGCACUGAAGAAGACCAGUAGUAUAGAGAAGUGCCAAAGCCAGGCUAAAGCCAGUUGAUGCUCAAAUACACUUUGGCAAUCAUUCAUGUGGGCUAAAAUAUGAUAAUUCAUGCCGUCUUCUGUCUUCCCGAGUGCAGAAAGAUUUAUGUUGAAGUAUUAAUUACAUGUAUGCCAUUUGGCAGACAGUCUCAUCCAGAGAGACUCCUUCCCAGAGCUGAACAGUUGAGCAUUAAGAGCCUCCCUCAAGGGCCCGGCAGUGGCAGCUUGGUUUUACUGACAUUUGAACUCACAACCUUGCAAUCGGUGAUCCAAUAUCUUUACAAUUAAGCUACUUGUAAAUAAUUUGUCUUUGGGGGUUUUCUGUACUGGAUAUAUAUUAAGUAAGAACGAUUUUGGAACUAGGAAAUACCCCAAACAGUAGUCAAGUUCAGUCAAGUUCAGCUCAUCUGCACAUUGUUGAAAUUGCUCCCUUGUUGUAGAAUGAGAACUCAUGGUUGACCAGGGGUCAUCAACUUGUGGUCUGCAAAUUCCUCUGAUUGAACGGUGUACUCAAAAAAAAAAGAAACGAUGUUUGUAUGAGAACCAAUCGGUGUAUGAAAUAUAAAGUGGAUAAAUGAAAACUAAGAAUGGACAGAGAAGUGUGUGAUUGGACGAUUGGACUGAGGACGGUUGGAUGUUUUGAUCUUUGAUGUUUUUGAAUCUGUACUGUUUGUCUAAAUGGGUUCCCUGGUGGUCUAGUGGUUAGGAUGCGGCGCUCUCACCGCUGCGGCCCGGGUUCGAUCCCCGGUCAGGGAACCAACCCCAGCCAUUAAGGUUGCACAAGCCUUAGUGUCGGUCCCAAGCCCGUUAGGAAGGGCAUCCAGCGUCAAAACAUGCAGAUGGUCCGUUGUGGCAACCCCUAACGGGAGAAGCCGAAAGAACUUUUACUAAUAGUCAAAAUGGGUUUUGUGAUGCUCCAAUGAAAAAGAUACCACAAUUACUUAUUCAUAGCCGUGAAGUAAUUACUUUAGUAUUUAAUUACACUAGUGGUUUGUUACCAUUGAUUUAAAUGAGGCAGGACGCAUAAAUAAUAAGCUAAAAUUGAGUCAAGUGGCUAUCACACUCGGCGUAUUCUAUAAACCAUGAGCAUGUUUGCUCGUUGCCAUUUUUGCGGUAGAGCUUAUAUUACUAACCAAGAAGAGCAUAAUGCAAAAUAUCCUAAAUAUCUUAAAUCUAUACUCUAUGGAUAAGUGGGAGACAUUUUUUUCAUUAUUGGGUCUGCAUUUGCAAUGGACCUAUGGUCACUGUUGUGUACAUGUGUUAGAUUCGUUCGUUAUGGUUUAUUUACUAAUACUACUACACAUUGUUUUUCUCAAUUAACCCAGUUUAGUGAAAUAAUAUGAUGUUCUCGCUAAAACAAUGUCCCCUUCACUGAAAAAUAUCUACAUAAACUGAGUACGGGGCAGCAUGAAUCCAGCCCCAGUGAACUUAACAUAUGUUGCAGUUCCCAUUCUGUCCACUAGGUGCUAUUAAUAGAGGCAGUGCGGUCGUUCAAAAGACUUAAAUAGUAUUUCUAAUGUAUAGUAUUUAUUAAGGUAGUAUUAUGACAUGCUAGUGUAUCAUUGCUUUGACACAAUUCGAGAGAUUUGUUAAUUCAUUCUUGAACGCAUUGUUCACAAGCAUGGCUCUUUUUUACAUAAAACAAUAGAUAUAUUAUUAUUAUUAUUAUUAUAAUUAAGUUUAUGCUUGCCAUACAUUUUUUAUAAUUAACACGUGGUUUAUGCUGCUGAUACUGUCACUAAUUUCUCAUCAAAACACAAUGACUUAAUGUUUAAUGUUCUGUCAGAACAAUGUGUUUCAGCAUCAUCACUGACCAACAUCCACUGUUUACAAUCAUAUGUACUGCCAUGUUAAUGGGGAAUUAUCUAUAUGAAACUGUACUAUACCAUACCUUUAAUUUUGCACUGCAUGAACACUUUUAUUUCACCUCAAUCCUGCUGUUGCAUCAGCAAAGUUUAGAAUAUUCGCACAAACAAAACUCAAUACACUCACACUGAUUGUAUACACACACUGUAUGUUUUUUUUUUCUUCUGUGGAUACAUUUCUGCUGUUAUCUUUCAUUUAGAAUGUAAAUCACACCUCCAUUUUUUACAUUGUAUAGUUAUGUUCAAAUUCUAUUUAACCAAUCCUGGAGUCAUUUUAGGUUUCAUAAAUAUUAUUAUUUAUGCUAAUAUAUAUAAUUAUGUAUACCACUCAUUUCCAUGCCAGGGACAGACAUUAUAGAAUCUAUAGCUUCAAGAAACCAGUCAGAGGAUUUAGGGAUCUGUCGUGUCUGAAUUCAGGAAGAAAGAAAAAACCUUCCAUCUGUCAGCAGGAACUGUGUGUGUGUGUGUGUGUG